AUGUAGCAGGAUUAGGUGAGCUGUGACUGACAGCUGGUAUCGCCUAUCAGAGAGUGGCAGUCCCCUUUUAAGCGGUGAUUGGCUGCUGCUCUGAAUGCGUCAUGUCCGACUUCCCCCCUGGGGGUUUGCAACGUUAGCGGCAGGUGAGUUCUUGCUAACAUGCUAUGGUUAGCAGUUUUAAUCUGUUUGUCACUUAAAAGUAAUGUUGUGUUGGUUUUAGUGUGUUGUCUGUCGUGCUGGUGCCCUUGUGCUGUCCGUGGUGUACGUGAUGGUGUACCCUCAGUUGGCUUAUGGUUUUCCUGCUGUUGGUUAACCUGUGCCUCAAAACAGUAAAUUGUCUGGGGUGAUGCCACUUUUCGGAGCUGGGGUCCCACGGGUGAUGGAGCUUUUCCGGUGGUGGUGCUUCCUCCUCAGGGCGUGCUGUGUAACACUUGACGUGUGUGGUUGUGUAGUCUGAGUGCACAGUGGGGUGUGUGUGUGUGCCUUUUGUAAACACGAGUCGUGAUAAAGUAAUUUCUCCUGUUGGGAACCUCAGCCCUGCUGGUUUGUAUGGUUUGUUUUGUUUUGUUUCCAUUAAUCUCUCAUUUUGAGAUUUGAUUGUGGUGAUUGUGCAUUGAAGUGGAGUGAUUUUGUAUGUCUUGGGAGCUCAUUUUAAAGGAUUCUGUCUAAAUAAAAUUUAUUUUUGUACUAUACCCAUGUCUCUUGCUCACUCUAUUUAAAGAGGAACGAACUUGUGUGCCUUUCCACCCUUUUGGGUGUAAGGAAUAUUUCCCUGGGUGUAAGUCCCGGGGUGGCGUAGUCGGAAUUUUAUGUAAAAUCUUUGCUUUCGUCAUGAAGCUAAACUUUCACCCCCUCGUCAUGCCACAUUCUGGCGUAGUCGGCAGGGUCCUCUGAUUUGGAGUGCAGAGACGUGGGUAUUGUGUUUUUUUGUUUUGUGUGUAUGUGGGUUUGUUUUUUUUUCUCUUGCAGGAACCAGACAGAGGCAGUUUUCGUGUCGCGACCCCAGCACAAUUUGUUGCUGGGUUUGUGCUGUCCGAUCGUUUGUGGUAAGCAGUCCUGGGUUAUUAUGAUGGAGGACAAAUUAUUUGGGUUAAGAAAUUUAGUAGCUUUAUGGGAGGUGGAACUUGUUAUUGGUUUAAGAACAAAAGGGAGAAUCUGAGUGUAUUGUCACGUAGAGGGCCAGCUGGUUUUAUAUGGGCAGGGUUGUAAAAGUUUUGGGAUGUUGGACAUGGCGUAUCAUUAAAGCACCAUUAAAUUGGUUGUCGUCAUUCAUUCUGUAUUAUCUGUACAGUUUUGUCUGAAGUUGGGGUAUUACGGAGGUAGUAUUAUGCCUGUGACUUAAAUUUUAUGAAGGAAGGGUAGGUACUAAUCGGUCCCAUGUCAUCCGUUGUCAAAUGGGGUCCCUCAGAGUCUGGGGUGGAACCAUCGGAUGAGGUUUAUUGGUAGGAGACGUACCCCCCCAGGUCAGUCAUUUUCAGAUGGGGUCCCUCAGCAGUUGGGGUGAAACCAUCUGACGAAUUUUAUCGUGCAGGAGAUGUAUCCCAGUGUUAGUUAAUUUUAUGUAAGGGUGGGUAGGUACAAAUCGGUCCCAUGUCAUUGGUUGUCGGAUGGGGUCCCUCAGAGUUUGGGGUGGAACCAUCCGAUGAUGUUUUGGUAGGAGAUGUACCUUCCCCCCAGGUCAGUCAUUUUUGGGUGGGGUCCCUCAGAGUCUGGGGUGAAACCAUCUGAGGUUUUAUUGCACUGGAAAGCUCUUGUUUUAGUCAUGUGUCAUUAGAGAGUAUGUCAGGUCAGUACUCCAACUGAUACCACUUCUUGUAAAUGGCGGGCACAGUGGUUGUGUCUGCAGAGUGGAUCGUAAAAUGUGCCUUCUUCCGACCUCGGGGCUGAGCACCCUGAGGUGGGGUUCUGUUUAGUUCACCGUCGGGGCGACGUUGCAGAAACUUGGGGUGGAUUGUAGCAGGAUUAGGUGAGCUGUGACUGACAGCUGGUAUCGCCUAUCAGAGAGUGGCAGUCCCCUUUUAAGCGGUGAUUGGCUGCUGCUCUGAAUGCGUCAUGUCCGACUUCCCCCCUGGGGGUUUGCAACGUUAGCGGCAGGUGAGUUCUUGCUAACAUGCUAUGGUUAGCAGUUUUAAUCUGUUUGUCACUUAAAAGUAAUGUUGUGUUGGUUUUAGUGUGUUGUCUGUCGUGCUGGUGCCCUUGUGCUGUCCGUGGUGUACGUGAUGGUGUACCCUCAGUUGGCUUAUGGUUUUCCUGCUGUUGGUUAACCUGUGCCUCAAAACAGUAAAUUGUCUGGGGUGAUGCCACUUUUCGGAGCUGGGGUCCCACGGGUGAUGGAGCUUUUCCGGUGGUGGUGCUUCCUCCUCAGGGCGUGCUGUGUAACACUUGACGUGUGUGGUUGUGUAGUCUGAGUGCACAGUGGGGUGUGUGUGUGUGCCUUUUGUAAACACGAGUCGUGAUAAAGUAAUUUCUCCUGUUGGGAACCUCAGCCCUGCUGGUUUGUAUGGUUUGUUUUGUUUUGUUUCCAUUAAUCUCUCAUUUUGAGAUUUGAUUGUGGUGAUUGUGCAUUGAAGUGGAGUGAUUUUGUAUGUCUUGGGAGGGCUCAUUUUAAAGGAUUCUGUCUAAAUAAAAUUUAUUUUUGUACUAUACCCAUGUCUCUUGCUCACUCUAUUUAAAGAGGAACGAACUUGUGUGCCUUUCCACCCUUUUGGGUGUAAGGAAUAUUUCCCUGGGUGUAAGUCCCGGGGUGGCGUAGUCGGAAUUUUAUGUAAAAUCUUUGCUUUCGUCAUGAAGCUAAACUUUCACCCCCUCGUCAUGCCA